rnacentral:misc_RNA from 1 species
AGCAGCCGCGGUAAUUCCAGCUCCAAUAGCGUAUAUUAAAGUUGUUGCAGUUAAAAAGCUCGUAGUUGAAUUUCGGGAUCAAUUAGUCGGUCGUGCCUCUGGUACGUACUGGUUUUAUUGGUUCCUCCCUUCUGACGAAACAUGAUGUCAUUAAUUUGGUGUCGUGGAGAAUCAGGACUGUUACCUUGAAAAAAUUAGAGUGUUUAUAGCAGGCUAACGCUUGAAUACAUUAGCAUGGAAUAAUGAAAUAGGACGUUCGACCCUAUUUUGUUGGUUUCUAGGAUCGACGUAAUGAUUAAUAGGGAUAGUUGGGGGCAUUAGUAUUCAAUUGUCAGAGGUGAAAUUCUUGGAUUUAUUGAAGACUAACUACUGCGAAAGCAUUUGCCAAGGAUGUUUUCAUUAAUCAAGAACGAAAGUUAGGGGAUCGAAGACGAUCAGAUACCGUCGUAGUCUUAACCAUAAACUAUGCCGACUAGGGAUCGGAUGAUGUAAUUUUUAAUGACUCAUUCGGCGCCUUAAC